rnacentral:rRNA from 1 species
GAUGUUCUCUCUUGUCCCCUAGCACCUCCGGUAGGUACCGCGGCACCGGUCCACAGCCGGUAGGUGCCGGAGGGGAGAGUAGAUGUUCUGGGGCUGCGGGGAGAGAGGGAGGGGCUUUGGGAUCGGGGUUAGGGGGUAGAGGAAGAGGGAGAGUCUAAGCGAGCACGGGCUCGCGGCGGCGGUAGAGUGGCAGCUGGAGCACCAGUGGCCGGAGGGGCCGCGGGCCCUCCUGCAGGUCCUCAACGUGGCAGGAGAAGGUGCAGCUAAGGCACUUUGACAAGCUGUCCUCGGUGUAACGCCGCGGUGGUCGUACAGAAGAAGUUGGAGCCCUGCGGCCUACGCAAGCAGUUUAAGGAGUAGCAGUUGGGGAGGGGUCGGAGGAGCUGGUGUAGGUACCAAGGUACUGGGGCUCUGAAGACGACUACAGGCACACUAGUUGAUGCAGUGGCUGCUGGGAGGAAGAACAGACUCGUUGGUCUACCACCUAGGAACCUCGAUCUACGGUGGGGGCAGCUGUUGAUGAUGUACCUCCGGCGACUUCUGGUCCUCAUCAAUCCUCCAGGGUCCGUCCUCCGGAACGGAGAAGCUAGUACAACGAAAACACGGUCGGAAGAAUUCCGUAGGAACAAAUUGAAUACAGACAAGAAUCUAUAACAACGAAGGCGACUGAGAACACAUAGCUCGAUACAUAAACUCUGGAACUUCGGGGACCUAACAUUAUAUUUUGACC